UGAGCAAUCUGCCCUUCUCUUCGGAAUAAGCGUUGGAAACGACGUCUAAUGCCGAAUACGACCUCCUUUCGCAUGAUCGGAGGUGGAAAGCUCCGGCGGAGAAGGAUGAGCUCGCGGCCUAUCAGCUAGUUGGUGUGGGUAAUGGCCCACCAAGGCGACGACGGGUAGCCGGCCUGAGAGGGUGACCGGCCACACUGGGACUGAGACACGGCCCAGACCUCCGUACGGGGAGGNAGCG
rnacentral:rRNA from 1 species